rnacentral:tmRNA from 1 species
AGUCUUUAAGAAGCUUGUCAGCAGACAGGAAGAGUUACCUCAGAUUCAUGACAGAAUACCUUAUGUAUUCAUAGACGGUAGUGAAAAGGGACUAAAGUCUGACUUGGCAGAGCACCCCGCCUACGUGCGUCAGCAGAACUUAAGAAUUGCACACAAGGUAUAUUUUGACAAACUGGUCCAUUCGGUGGCUAAUAUAAUUCAGUGCCUCUUUGACAACGACACUGACUAUACAGUGAAAAUCAUCUACAACUUCCUGAACAUCCAACCAGACAACAUAUCUGAGAUUGCUGAACUUUUAAACAUCCAAACUGGUCAUGGAGAAGUCUGCCCCCUCGAUUAUUCUUAAUCACUGGUGCGUGACCUGGCAGGGUCACCAUUUUCUCUGCAGAAACCUUUCAAAUAUAAAAAUUCUAAACAGAAGGAAUGGAUACACCACUCUGGACCUACCACUGACCCUUGGAGACCUGACACAAUAUAGACUGGCUCAUGGACUUAGUGAAAAUCUAAUGGCGCUCAGUCCUUACUCUUGGACCAUACCCUUUCUGGUGUCAUCGAGUGAAACACCUGGAAUUGAGCUUCUUCCUAAGCAGAGUGUUGACCUGCGGUGCAGCACACGUGCUGGAAGCCCACUUCAAACAUCCUCCAAUAACUUCCAGAGCGAUCACAGAUGGCGGAGAGUCACCCAUGGAGUGGCAGACCCUCUAGUUCCCCACGAAGGUCAUCUACAUUUGCCAACUAUGCCUGGAAGCAUACAAUCAAGCCAAACAGGAUUUUGAUACGCAAUGCCCGGCCACUGGUCAUCAAUUUUGCCACUGAUAGGCUUCCUAUCAUCAAGCCAGUGGAUCAGAUCAUACUGGAAGACGCGGGCACCGUGGGGUCCGCCCUUAAUCUACCCAGCGAGUCUAUCUGCACUAGACCAGGCCUGCUCCUGUUUGGACACUACAAUAACGAUGUGCCAGUCACCCCCCUGGUGGACUUUAAGCCCGAUGAGCCCCUCCAGGUUGUCCUCACAGCCCACAAGACCAUAGUGGUGCCACCAGGAGAAUUUGUCAUGAUCAUCGUGUGUGUAAAUUUUGAAAAAAUAAAAUCCCUGGACCUCAUCAUCCAUGAAAUGUCAACCAGCAACAUCCCCCUACCACCCACCUGUGGGCAGACCUUCAAAAACUUCAAUACAGCCACCCCCUCUCUGGAAAUCUAUGGAGAUGUCAUAGAGUGUAAUGACGACCAGAAGACCUGCGUCUUCACAGCCGUCUUUCCCGGGCUCCACAGGCGCUGCAGCCUCCACGGUCCCCUAAAUUUUAUGGGAUUUGUCAACAGUGUGAAUAUAACUGGAACUAUCCUCAGGGUGUACUAUUCUGGUGUCAGUGAAGCUGCCCCAGACAGCAUACUUGUCAAAUUCAAAACCUCCUCUGCCGUGGCCUUCAGUAAGAACCCGUGCCAAGGACAUGUUCCCAGUCAUGAUGAUACUUUGAUUCCCCUGGUGUAUACCGGACCCACCCUCCGUCUCCUCCCGCUGGAAACCAUCAGUAUUCCCUUCAAUACCUCUUUUGUGGCCCAGAACCCUGACCUGAAAGCCAUCAUCUAUGACAACAACUUAAAAGACAUCAGGAUCUCUGCAACCAUGUGGACAGGAGAACAGACACCCAUCUUGGCCCACAAUUUAACCGCCGCAGUUAAACUUAUCCACAGUGGGACCGUGUUUGCCAGGGCAGCCUUUUUCUCCACUAAAGAGAACAAGAAGGCCUGCACACUUAAACUCUGCCCCUCAACCAUCCUUCUUCCAGGUGGUGAGCUGAGUCUAGAUACCUCUACCCUCCCCAACUGUUUCAAAUGAUUCUUGUGAGUGCUGACAGGCUUAAUAAAGAAAAUGAUUAAAUGAAA